rnacentral:rRNA from 1 species
CAAGACUUCUGACUUCCGAGUUGCGAGAAGGUGGAGGUCGAGGUCGAGUCCCAUUUAUGCAUGCACCCCUUCUCUCCGUACAGACGCUUCCGGCCGUUCGGGGACCAGGUCUGGCUGCGCCCCCGCAUGUAGCGAACCAGGCCACGACUGGUCGGCCUCGAGCGUUGCCUCCCCGAGCCCACACCGGAAGAGCACGACUCCGGGGAGCCGAAGCGCGACGGCGUGAUACGACUGAGGUUGUUCAAGCCGAUGCAGGAGCCACCGAGGCCCCACCGACCCCAGGAGGGCCAACUGCGGUUCCUCUCCCAGCAGGCGGACUUCCGGCCGCUGCAGUAGCGGCACGCGUGCCCCCUGCAGAGCACCACCAUGUUGCUGUUGCUGCCGGUGCGACUACUGAACAGGUAGGACAAGUAUCCGCUGUGCCCCGCGCGGGAGUCGGGCCCCCUGUAGAGCAUGAAGAAGGAGCGGCCGCCGUUGUCGCAGGACUCGCCGGAACUGCGCCCGGAGGAGUGGUCCCGCACCGGACCACACUGCCUCCUCGUCCGCCGGUGGCGCAAGGCCUCGGUCGGCCGGCAGGAGGAGUGGUCCGACUCGCGCUUCGACGGGCCGCAUACGGGCGCGCUCGUGCUGUCCUUUCCCGAGCAGCACUUGCGGCCGGUGCAGCGGCGUCCCUGGGACUUCUGCGAGUGGCCCAGCCUAGACCUGCGCGACCCGCCGGAGCCUAAGUCGCGCCACGAGGCCGCAGAGCUCGGGCCGCGGCGCUCGCGCGGCACCCACGAAGCGCUCCCGCGUCGCGUCCGCCACAUGCACCGUGCACCCUCGCGCGCGCAGGUCCAGAGCAGACGGCGCCCGCUGUGCGACGACGACCUGCUCCUCCAGGGGCGCCCCUCGAGCAAGCAACACGGUGCCAAGCGGCACGCGAGCAGCGGCGGCCGCGACUACCACGACUCACCCAGAGCGACUAGUUCUCGCGGUCCGGCCGCCACCUCGUGGACUGGCCCCUCCCGAGAUAAAAGCCGCCGGACUGAGGUGUCCACCACGUCCGUAGCGACUUCCACCGCGGCCUCGACCACUUCGACGAGACUCGCCACCACUGGCUGAGAGCCACGUGCACACGCAAAUGAAAGACAGCACGCACAGUUUAUGCGAAAGAGGUUGUUCUUCUAGCAGCACGUGCGACAUACGACACCGCUGCACAUAGUGAACCAGACACUAACAUGCGACAUGGCAGGAAAAAAGGGGAAGGCUUAUUU